rnacentral:rRNA from 1 species
UACGUAUGGUGCAAGCGUUAUCCGGAUUUACUGGGUGUAAAGGGAGCGUAGGCGGCACGGCAAGCCUGAUGUGAAAGCCCGCGGCCCAACCGCGGGACUGCAUUGGGAACUACCGGGCUGGAGUGCCGGAGAGGUAGGCGGAAUUCCUAGUGUAGCGGUGAAAUGCGUAGAUAUUAGGAGGAACACCAGUGGCGAAGGCGGCCUACUGGACGGUGACUGACGCUGAGGCUCGAAAGCGUGGGGAGCAAACAGG